GCUCCCGGCCCGCGUUCCUCUGCACCCCGGGAGCCCGCGCUCUGUGGCCGCGGGGCGGGCACUGAGCUUUGGGGGCCAGGCUGGGAGCGAGGAGCGGCGCAGCGCGGAGGAGCCGCACUGCACCUGCGCCCGCGGGGGCCGCGCGCCGAGCUUUGCGGACUGGUGUUGCGCUCCGGCUCUCUAAACCCACCAGGCUCUUUCCCGUAAAGGACUUGUGCCUGUCUGCGUCAGUACCCAAACACAGAGAGCUUUGGACGUGGUGACAUGCUGCUGAUUUGGAAAUGUCCUUUGGGAAACAGCGUUGGGGAGGUGAAUUUGGCUUUGGGGAAAUGAAAUGUAGGUUGGUAUUUGGAAAAGGUUUAAUCUCCUAUUAGUGCAGAUGUCUCUGAGUCAGUUUGUGAGCGCAUCUAUGGGGCGGGGAGGGGAGGGGAGAGAGAACGAACUACCCACAUACUAUUUUGGAUGGGGGAUUAACACCUAUGCCAGGUGCUUAGUCCACCAGUCCAUGGAAAGGAAGCUACAAAUCCAGUUUUAGGCUUUACUAGUAUUGGGGAAUUUGCCUUAAGGCAGUUGAAGCCUUGUGACUCACGACAAAGUCCAGGUCUCAGUCCAAGGUACAAUGAAUUGAUAGGACUUUGUGGCAGAGAGUCACCCCUCAGUCAUAUCUUCAGACCAGCAAAAGAUAUUACAGGACUCAGAAUUUUUUUUUAAUUAGUGCAAUGCUUUAAAUGUUUGUUUCCGCUUAAUUACAUCUUCAUAAAUAUAGUUUGUCCAAGUUUAACACGGAAGCUUGUUUCCCACCUCUAUUUCCUUCUUUCUCCAACUUCCUUCUGAUUGUAUCUUACUUUUUCCUGGAAAAGCACUUCCUAGCAUAAGACCAGUUGUUUCCUUUCUUUACGUAACCUGACCCUACUUGGACAUGAUUUGGGUUUGUCAAGAUGGCCUUGGCUUUAGCGACUCAAUCUUGAGCUCCUUCACGUGACCAUGGAUGCAAGUGGCACAAAAGAUUUUAAAAGUUUUCUUUCCUGGAGCAAGUGAAAAUGUUCUUUACACUUGGGUUGUCUUUUUGAGUGCCCCAACUUGAAGGGUCCUGGAAAAAUAUUCCAUUCAUUAGAGUAAGACAAGAUAACUGGAUAAUAAAGUCAGGGUGUGUAAGGUAGACAAUUCUUUACCCACUGCUCGGGAUACAUUUAAUAUAUGAGAGCCUUGAAGUACCGGGCUUGGGUGGUCUUAUGGAAGGUGCUUUGCCACUUGAUUUCAUGUAUACUCUUCUUUCAGAGUCAAGUUCUAUUGCUGUUUAGUGUUUUGUGACUGGUGAUUUUAUCGGCUGCUUAUUUUUAACUGGGUCUCAACCUUUUUGUGUAAGUGGGUGGCACCACGGAAGAGGGUGAGCAAGAGGCCACCUGCCCACCUGAGGGACAAGGUGCUACCAGACCCCCCUGGGUUAUCCCAGAACCAAGCAGCCAGGCCACCAGAUUUCAGGGCAGCCCCAAUGUGUGCCUGUUUGAGAACUCAAGAGUCACAUUUUGACAGAAUUAACUUAAAAUCCACCAAACUCACUGUGUUCCUGAACCGCCUUCCCAUUCAGUUGAAACUUGGGUCUCCCGUAGAUGUGGCCUUAGGAUAAAGCAGGGAAUGGAAAGUCGCUGCGGUCUAAAAUAGGAAAUGGAAAGUUAGGUACUGAACGAAAAUUUACCGACUUGGAAAUACUCAUAGCAGCUGUGAUGAAAUAUGGGCUGUUUGUAAAUCAGAAACAAUCCCUGUGGUUCUUCCUUCACUCACCAUUGUUUUUAUGUUUUGGGUUUUGGGUUUUUUUGGCCUGGGGAAGUGAGUCUGUUAAGGCUCAUAACAGGAAAAGCCACACCCAUUUACUUUUGUUGCAUGGGUUUUGAUUUUUCAAGAUACUCUUAGGUGCAUGGUAAUUGCAUUUGCCCUUCUUGCAUAUCUUUAUAAAAUUACGUGUUCAGGAGUUUCUGAAUGCCAGUUCCUCUGACUCAUGAACCAGAUCAUUGUGCUACCGUGUAUCAGUUGCACAAAGUUCUGUUCCCUGUGAUUUCAUCCUAGUGUGAUCUGGGAAAAAGAACAGGGCGGGUCAGGAACACCUGCGCCCACUUUAAUUUGGUGUUUGGUUAUGUCUGCAGAGUUGUUGAAACCAUUGAAGGGAAGGAACACAUCCCACCCACCUCGGGGAAGUGGCCUCUUCUGGCCAUGUCUCCCGCAGCUGCUGCCGAGCCAGAUGGGGUCCAGGGAGACAGGCGUGUCACCAAGCUCAUUUUCUUCCUUUUUGUCGUCGGUGCUAUCCUGCUGUGUGUGGGAGUCCUGCUCUCCAUCUUUGGGUUCCAGGCAUGCCAAUACGAAACCCUCCCAGACUGUAGCAUGGUGCUGAAGAUCUCCGGGCCCGCGUGUGCCGUGAUUGGGCUGGGGGCUGUGGUCCUGGCCCGCUCCCGGGCACGACUUCAGCGAAGUGAGGAGCGCCUGCGAGGCAACCGGGGGGCCUCCGACCGAGCCUUCCUCUGUGGGGAGAGCCGCCAGUUUGUCCAGUGUCUCAUCUUUGGGUUUCUGUUCCUGACGAGUGGUAUGCUCAUCAGCGUACUGGGCAUUUGGGUCCCCGGGUGUGGCUCAGACUGGGUGCAGGAACCGCUGAAUGAGACAGACACUGCUGACUCAGAGCCCCAGAUCUGUGGAUUCCUGUCCCUGCAGAUCUUGGGACCCUUGAUUGUGCUUGUGGGAUUGUGUUUCUUCGUGGUUGCCCAUGUUAAGAAGAGAAACAACUCGAAUGUGGGCCAGGAUGCUUCUGAAAGUGAAGAGAGACAGACCCAGAACAUGGAGCCCGUCCAGGUCACUGUAGGUGAUGCCGUGAUCAUAUUCCCACCUCCUCCACCACCUUACUUUCCUGAGUCUUCAGUUUCUGCAGCUACUCGGAGUCCUGGGGCUGACGGUUGGCUCCCAAAUGAAAGUCCACCUUCAUAUUACAGUAUUUUUAACUAUAGUUUGUCUGCCUUCCAUUAGCCGUCUCAGAAGAUGAAGUAGCAGAGAAGAGUAACUGUGUGUGUGCAUGUUCUCUUCGGAAGGCAGCUAUGUGUUUGUACUCUACGUCUUUUCAAUGACAAGGGGAAUGACAACAGGAGUGAGACAGUCUUAAAGUAACCAUGAGCUCUAAGGACAGGAAGGGGAUCCCAACUCCUGAGGGCCAAGGCGCAGCCUCUGAGAGAGACGGUGAAUCUAUAUAUACUAUUUCUGGGACUGCUUCAUCCUCUGAGACCUCACACACUCCCUGUCUC